rnacentral:rRNA from 1 species
AUGAACAUCACCCUCCUCACCCGCUGGCUCUGGCGCAUUUCGCAAGGGCGCGGUGGUCUUUGGCUUGACAUUAUCCAGAACAAGUACCUGCGCGGACAGCCCCUCGCCUUUUGUCAAAGAUACGGCGGCUCCCAGUUCUGGCAAUCGGUUGUCCAACUGCUUCCCGUCCUUCGCAUUGGAACCUCCAUCUCGGUUGGAUCGGGUACAGCGAUGCUGUUCUGGUUCGACCGGUGGGUGGGAGACUCCCCCUUUGCGGCCCGUUUCCCCGACCUCUUCUCCAUUGCUGUCGCCCCCUUAAUCUCCGUUGAGAGGGCCCUUAUUGACUUAGGGUGCCUCGCUUUCCGAAGGCCAUUUGGGCCCCCGGAAGCCGCCGCGUGGCUUGAGCUGCUUGAUUGCGUCGCUCUCCACGAGCCUGCGGUGGAUGCGGGCCCGGACGAGGUUCGGUGGCGUCUUGAGCCUUCGUGCCAAUUCUCCACCAAGUCCCUUUACUCGGCCAUUGCCCCCUCCCCGCUCCUCCCCCUCCCUGCGGUUUGGUCCAUCCGCUUGCCAUUGAAAAUUCGGAUAUUCAUGUGGCAAUGGAUCCGCGAUAGGAUUCCGUCUGGGGUGGAGGUCCGCAAACGCAAUGGCCCUGGGUCCGGCCUCUGCCCCCUGUGUGGUACCCCCGAAGAUUCGAAUCACAUCUUUUUCUCCCGUGUCUCAGCUCAGUUCAUGUGGAGCUGCUUUAGGGAGGCUGUGGGAGGCGAUUGGUGUCACACCAACUUCCCCGACCUCUUCGCCGAACUCCAGAACUCCCCUCCUCCCUCUCGCCACAUUAGGUGGCUCGAGAUCGGGGUUCUAGCGUGGACUCUUUGGACUAUUCGCAAUAAGCUUGGGAUCCAGCGUAUUCCUCUUCGACGGGCUACUGACGCUCUCUUCAAACUGUCUGGUUACUUGCAGCUUUGGCGGCCGCUUAGCCGCCCUCAGGACCGCGACGCUAUCACUGCCUUCAUCGCCGACCUUCACUCGAUGGCCGUCCGUCUGUCACCGCCGCCCCCUCCGCCACCCCCGAAGCCGGAUUAG